AGUGAACGCUGGCGGUAGGCCUAACACAUGCAAGUCGAACGGCAGCACCGUAAGAGCUUGCUCUUACGGGUGGCGAGUGGCGGACGGGUGAGGAAUAUAUCGGAAUCUACUUUUUCGUGGGGGAUAACGUAGCGAAACUUACGCUCAUACCGCAUACGAUCUACGGGUGAAAGCAGGGGAUCUUCUGACCUUGCGCGAUUGAAUGAGCCGAUGUCGGAUUUGCUAGUUGGCGGGGUAAAGGCCCACCCAGGCGACGAUCCGUAGCUGGUCUGAGAGGAGGGUCGGCCACACUAGAACUGAGACACGGUCCAGACUCCUGCGAGAGGCAGCAGUGGGGAAUAGUGGACAAUGGGCGCAAGUCUGAUCCAGCCGUACCGCGUGGGUGAAGAAGGCCUUCGGGUUGUAAAGCCCUUUUGUUGGGAAAGAAAAGCAGCAGGUUAAUACCCCGCUGUACUGACGGUACCCAAAGAAUAAGCACCGGCUAACUUCGUG
rnacentral:rRNA from 1 species